rnacentral:rRNA from 1 species
UACGAAGGGGGGCUAGCGUUGUUCGGAUUUACUGGGCGUAAAGCGCACGUAGGCGGAUACUUAAGUCAGGGGUGAAAUCCUGGAGCUCAACUCCAGAACUGCCUUUGAUACUGGGUAUCUCGAGUCCGGAAGAGGUGAGUGGAACUCCUAGUGUAGAGGUGGAAUUCGUAGAUAUUAGGAAGAACACCAGUGGCGAAGGCGGCUCACUGGUCCGGUACUGACGCUGAGGUGGCGAAAGCGUGGGGAGCAAACAGGAUUAGAUACCCC